rnacentral:sRNA from 1 species
AGCGACUUUAGCUCCGAUGCGGGAAGGAAAGCCGACCUCCGAUUUGGACAUUUAAAGAGCUGGGCUUGGACUUCGUGAGUUUCGCUCUAAACUGCCCUUGAAAUGAAGCUGGACUUGGAGGUGGCUGAUCAGGACAGUAUGAAAUUUCAUACAGUUUCCUAACUUGAGAAAACAUGGUGAUGCAAUUCCUCCAACCAGGAGGGAUUUAUGGACAGCGGUGGCUACGUCCUAAUCUGCCCAGAAUACAGGAUGACUAAACAAAUUGGCAAACGGACGCAGCUUUCUCUCUCUCUAAGAAAAGUCUGCUGAGAACCCUCGUUCCCACUCUGUUUCUGCCUCCAAGAAGAAAAGCCUAAAACUCACUUUCUUCCGGACUCUUUCAAGGAAGCUGAUUAAAAGAAGCUCCUAAACCAGAGGUGCAGACAAGGUGAUGAUGUGGCUCUCAGAGGAAGGUGUGCUACCUACAACCCUGCUGGCUUCAUGGAAGAAUAUGCUUCUCAAAUGCAAAUCCAAUCAAGUUAUCCCCCUGCUUAAAUCCAAACUCGCUCAU